CGACAGCCCACCGGGAAAUUUCCUGGUAUCCCGGUGGGCCAGUCCGGCCCUGAGGCUAACUAGGUUUUCAAAACAUUGUCCGAUCAAAGGUGCAUGCAUAUCCAUUUCUCUCAUUUAAAAGAAAUCCAUUUUCUUUUAAAAAGGAUUAUUAAAAAAUAGUUUUGAGGUGACAGUUUUCCUAUAAAGCUGCAGCAAAUGUUUUUUCGAAUCUAUGUAGUUUAUAAAAGCUACUCUCAGUCAGGAGAUAAAGUGCAGGGAAGAGUGCUGAGUUCCAAGUAACUAAUUCAUAUUUCUAAACAAUGCGUAGCAACCAGUAGGUCAAUAUAUGCAGUGCUGUACAGCUUCA